rnacentral:rRNA from 1 species
GUACGAAGGGGGGCUAGCGUUGGCUCGGAAUCACUGGGCGUAAAGCGCACGUAGGCGGAUUGUUAAGUCAGGGGUGAAAUCCUGGAGCUCAACUCCAGAACUGCCUUUGAUACUGGCGAUCUCGAGUCCGGGAGAGGUGAGUGGAACUGCGAGUGUAGAGGUGAAAUUCGUAGAUAUUCGCAAGAACACCAGUGGCGGAAGGCGGACUCACUGGCCCGGUACGUGACGCUGAGGUG